rnacentral:rRNA from 1 species
UACAGAGGGUGCAAGCGUUAUCCGGAUUCACUGGGUUUAAAGGGUGUGUAGGCGGGUAAGUAAGUCAGUGGUGAAAUCUCCAGGCUCAACCUGGAAACUGCCAUUGAUACUAUUUAUCUUGAAUAUCGUUGAGGUAGGCGGAAUAUGUCAUGUAGCGGUGAAAUGCUUAGAUAUGACAUAGAACACCGAUUGCGAAGGCAGCUUACUAAACGAUUAUUGACGCUGAGGCACGAAAGCGUGGGGAUCAAACAGG